AAGUCGUAACAAGGUCUCCGUAGGUGAACCUGCGGAGGGAUCAUUAACACGCUUACAAGCGUUUCUAACCAAAACUAUGGAAACAAUGGUGUUGAUUGUCAGCAAUGAUAAGCAACAACUAGUUCUCUCCCCAUACAUAUAUAUAGUCAUAUAUAUAUAUGAAUGGGCUAUUUUUAUAAUUCUUAUAAAAACCCUUUUCCAACUGUAGAUUAAUAUUUCGAUAUUAGUUUAUUAUUAUUGACGAAUAUUGUUCUUUUAUACUUUUAUUAGUCUAGAGGAACGAACUUAAGAUAAUCUAAGCACAACUCUUAGCAACGGAUAUCUUGGUUCUC
rnacentral:misc_RNA from 1 species